CAGUGGGGAAUAUUGGACAAUGGGCGAAAGCCUGAUCCAGCAAUGCCGCGUGAGUGAUGAAGGCCCUAGGGUUGUAAAGCUCUUUUACCCGGGAAGAUAAUGACUGUACCGGGAGAAUAAGCCCCGGCUAACUCCGUGCCAGCAGCCGCGGUAAUACGGAGGGGGCUAGCGUUGUUCGGAAUUACUGGGCGUAAAGCGCACGUAGGCGGCUUUGCAAGUCAGAGGUGAAAUCCCGGGGCUCAACCCCGGAAUUGCCUUUGAGACUGCAUCGCUAGAAUGUCGGAGAGGUAAGUGGAAUUCCGAGUGUAGAGGUGAAAUUCGUAGAUAUUCGGAAGAACACCAGUGGCGAGGGCGGACUCUACUGG
rnacentral:rRNA from 1 species